rnacentral:rRNA from 1 species
AUGAACGCCGGCGGUGUGCCUAAUACAUGCAAGUCGAACGCGUUGGCCCAAUUGAUUGACGGUGCUUGCACCUGAUUGAUUUUGGUCGCCAACGAGUGGCGGACGGGUGAGUAACACGUAGGUAACCUGCCCAGAAGCGGGGGACAACAUUUGGAAACAGAUGCUAAUACCGCAUAACAGCGUUGUUCGCAUGAACAACACUUAAAAGAUGGCUUCUCGCUAUCACUUCUGGAUGGACCUGCGGUGCAUUAGCUUGUUGGUGGGGUAACGGCCUACCAAGGCGAUGAUGCAUAGCCGAGUUGAGAGACUGAUCGGCCACAAUGGGACUGAGACACGGCCCAUACUCCUACGGGAGGCAGCAGUAGGGAAUCUUCCACAAUGGGCGCAAGCCUGAUGGAGCAACACCGCGUGAGUGAAGAAGGGUUUCGGCUCGUAAAGCUCUGUUGUUAAAGAAGAACACGUAUGAGAGUAACUGUUCAUACGUUGACGGUAUUUAACCAGAAAGUCACGGCUAACUACGUGCCAGCAGCCGCGGUAAUACGUAGGUGGCAAGCGUUAUCCGGAUUUAUUGGGCGUAAAGAGAGUGCAGGCGGUUUUCUAAGUCUGAUGUGAAAGCCUUCGGCUUAACCGGAGAAGUGCAUCGGAAACUGGAUAACUUGAGUGCAGAAGAGGGUAGUGGAACUCCAUGUGUAGCGGUGGAAUGCGUAGAUAUAUGGAAGAACACCAGUGGCGAAGGCGGCUACCUGGUCUGCAACUGACGCUGAGACUCGAAAGCAUGGGUAGCGAACAGGAUUAGAUACCCUGGUAGUCCAUGCCGUAAACGAUGAGUGCUAGGUGUUGGAGGGUUUCCGCCCUUCAGUGCCGGAGCUAACGCAUUAAGCACUCCGCCUGGGGAGUACGACCGCAAGGUUGAAACUCAAAGGAAUUGACGGGGGCCCGCACAAGCGGUGGAGCAUGUGGUUUAAUUCGAAGCUACGCGAAGAACCUUACCAGGUCUUGACAUCUUGCGCCAACCCUAGAGAUAGGGCGUUUCCUUCGGGAACGCAAUGACAGGUGGUGCAUGGUCGUCGUCAGCUCGUGUCGUGAGAUGUUGGGUUAAGUCCCGCAACGAGCGCAACCCUUGUUACUAGUUGCCAGCAUUAAGUUGGGCACUCUAGUGAGACUGCCGGUGACAAACCGGAGGAAGGUGGGGACGACGUCAGAUCAUCAUGCCCCUUAUGACCUGGGCUACACACGUGCUACAAUGGACGGUACAACGAGUCGCGAACUCGCGAGGGCAAGCAAAUCUCUUAAAACCGUUCUCAGUUCGGACUGCAGGCUGCAACUCGCCUGCACGAAGUCGGAAUCGCUAGUAAUCGCGGAUCAGCAUGCCGCGGUGAAUACGUUCCCGGGCCUUGUACACACCGCCCGUCACACCAUGAGAGUUUGUAACACCCAAAGUCGGUGGGGUAACCUUUUAGGAGCCAGCCGCCUAAGGUGGGACAGAUGAUUAGGGUG